rnacentral:rRNA from 1 species
UACGUAGGCAGCGAGCGUUGUUCGGAGUUACUGGGCGUAAAGGGCGCGUAGGCGGCCACCGCAAGUCAGUUGUGAAAGCUCUGGGCUUAACCCAGAAAGGUCAACUGAUACUGCGGGGCUAGAGUGCAGGAAGGGGCAACUGGAAUUCUCGGUGUAGCGGUGAAAUGCGUAGAUAUCGAGAGGAACACCUGCGGCGAAGGCGGGUUGCUGGGCUGACACUGACGCUGAGGCGCGAAAGCUAGGGGAGCGAACGGG